ensembl:lncRNA
GGUAACCAUAGCAACAGCAGAUCAACCGUUGAGCGCUUGCCGUUGGGAUCAGUAUCUGCACGCUACAUCACAAAACAGUUAGUCAUUAUUUAUAAUGUUAACAGACGCUCUUCUGUGGACUCAGCAUCAGACGGGACGCCCGCUGUCCGCCCGCUGACCGUCUGAUGCACGCUUCACCUGAAACACAAGCACUUUCUCAAUCUAGUAAACUCUAAUGUGACUGGCUGACUUUAUGGAGCUUCCAAGAAAGCUCCCAGGGUUUUUCUCCAGUCUGUUUGGAAAAGUUGUGUUGACUGAGGAUCAAAUCUUUCAAGAAUGAAAUCAUCGCUGGAUUUACCAAAGUUUGUGAGUUUACUGUGGUGUUUUACAGCGUGGGACUCUGAACACAUUAAACAGACCUGCGGCGUCACACACCUCAAAGAGCUCUGAGCUGCUGUCAUCAGAUCACAUGACCUCAGCGCUGAGAAGAAACGACCGGCGUGUAAAUACUUCAACGCAGGGAUUAACUGAAAAUUCAGAGAGUAUUUUAAAUCAUGAUAAACCUUUCUAAGAAUAGACUCUCAGCGUUUGAACACAGCAGAACAUCACAACAGACAGAAAAACACACAGACACGUCUCCCAGGGGACACUGAUAACUUUCACAAAUAUGUUCUUCAUGAAAUUUGUUUGUGUACCACAACAGAAUUGCAAAAUAAUUGUUUCCCAAAGAAUCCUAAUGGUAUCAAAUAAAAAUAAUCUAAAAUUAUUCUAUGAUAAGAUAUGUUAUAUAAAUACAAUAUAGAUAUAUUUAGAUUUUUUUAUUGCAUAUUUAAUAUAAUGAAGC